GACAGAGGGGGCAAGCGUUGCUCGGAAUCACUGGGCUUAAAGGGCGCGUAGGCGGCCAACUAAGUCAGACGUGAAAUCCCCAGGCUCAACCUGGGAACUGCGUCUGAUACUGGAUGGCUUGAAUCCGGGAGAGGGAUGCAGAAUUCCAGGUGUAGCGGUGAAAUGCGUAGAUAUCUGGAGGAACACCGGUGGCGAAGGCGGCAUCCUGGACCAACACUGACGCUGAGGAGCGAAAGCCAGGGGAGCAAACGGG
rnacentral:rRNA from 1 species